AUCUAUAAAUAGAGGUAUCUUAGGUCAGUUUUUAGACUGACGAUACUCUCUACGUCACCUCUUCCUCUCAAUAAUUUCGUUUUCCCUUCUCCUCCUUCCAAAACUCUCUUUUUCCCGCAUAUCAUCAAACCUGUCCUAGAAAAAUAACGAUCUCAGACUCAUUCACCGAUGGAUCGUCGUGAAAUUUGAGCAUCAGGUUCGGAACUCAUUUCUGAACAUUCUCACCGUUGGGAAUUAAGAAAAACUCUCUAAGCUGAGAGAAAUAUCCUUUGCAUCAUAGUUUUUUCUUUUCCUGCAGAAACCUAAAACUGUCUCAAUAAAACCACGAUCCCAGACUCGUUAAUCGUUGGAUUGUCGUGAAAUUUUGAUAUGUGGUUCGCGUUUCACUUUCGCACAUCUUCACCGUUGAGAUUUGCAAAAUAACAUCUAUGGAGGGAGCAAUACUCAUCGCACGUAGACAGUGGAAUGGAGGUUUCAGUCUCUUCUCCUUCUCUUUAACGUUUGGGAACCCUAUCAGAGCAGUCAGAGGAAAAACUAAAGGAAUCUCAAGAAAUCACUAGAGAUGUCGCUAUUGCUGUCACAAUACACACGUGAGCCCGCUUAGAGGAUAAAUAUCGUAAGUGAUUUUAUUGGGAACUGUCAUUCUCUUAUUGAGGCAUUGUAUCUUGGUAACACUAGGAUGAAAUCUCUUCCAUCUAAGCUAUUCAAGACUUGUCUUCAACUCUCCACAUUGGAUCUCCACAAUACAAAAAUAACAAUUGAUCUCCUUCGCCGAUUUGAAGGGUGGGACAAUUUUGACGAAUGCCAACGCUCAAAGCAUCAAAAACAAAUUGAUUUUCGGGUUGGAGUUUCUAGAGAUUUUGAUGAAGGUGUUGAUAAAAACUAAUGGCAGUGAUUUGUUAUAAGCAAUGCAAUUCAGAUAGUCUUCAUGAUGUUCAUGUUCAAACAUGAUGGCAGUUGCUUAUCUUACCCCUAUGGUGGCAAUAUGCAAAUAAGAAAUUUGUAAUAGGGUGUUGUUUUAUUGAGAUUUCCUAUAAGUGACUAAUAAAUAGUAAAAAAAAAAUGUUUGAGUACCUCUAAAAAGUUGUGUAUGAUUAUUAUUUUUUAAAUUGAGGGCUAAUUAGGAGGAUUAGUGUCUCAUUCUUUCAGCUAUUACAUGCCCUGUGUCUGGUAUGUAUGAUAAGGAUGUUGCAGGAAUAUAUGGGUUUACAAUCCAUGGAUUUGAUGUCUAGAGUGGAGGUUGACGUAUCAAAGUUCUUAUGAAAAUAAA